GAUGAACGCUAGCGGCAGGCUUAAUACAUGCAAGUCGAGGGGCAGCAUGAGCGUAGCAAUACAUUUGAUGGCGACCGGCAAACGGGUGCGGAACACGUACAGAACCUUCCUUCGAGCGGGGAAUAGCCCAGAGAAAUUUGGAUUAAUACCCCAUUGCAUUACGGAGUGGCAUCACUUUGUAAUUAAAGAUUUAUCACUUGAAGAUGGCUGUGCGGCUGAUUAGGUAGUUGGCGGGGUAAUGGCCCACCAAGCCUGCGAUCAGUAACUGGUGUGAGAGCACGACCAGUCAAACGGGCACUGGGACACGGGCCCGACUCCUACGGGAGGCAGCAGUAAGGAAUAUUGGUCAAUGGACGAGAGUCUGAACCAGCCAUGCCGCGUGGAGGAUGAAGGUCCUCCGGAUUGUAAACUUCUUUUAUAUGGGACGAAAAAAGGCUUUUCUAAGUCGUCUGACGGUACCAUAUGAAUAAGCACCGGCUAACUCCGUGCCAGCCGCCGCCGUAA
rnacentral:rRNA from 1 species